CUUUAAUGGCGCUUGCAAAACGAAAAAGAGACAGUACAUGUGAUUACGAUUACAUACAUGUAUAUAACAAAAUCGUAUACGGACUGAACAGUAUUUCCGGAAACACGGAUUCAACCCCCUAUAUAUAUAUUACAUAACACUGCAUUUGAAAAUUUGAGCAAUUAUAGCUUUGUUAAGGUAGCAAGCAAACACGCACGUAUAUGUCAAGACAAAUACCAUACAUGAAUAAAGAUCUGCAAUCAGCAGUCUAAAAAAAGAUAAUGGUGUAUAACAGGUUACAAAAUGUCGACACUAAAAACGAGGAAAGCUUAUGGAGUUUUGAGGAAUUUUGUAACCUAAUUUAAAAAAAAAAAAAAACAAAAAUCUGUGAAAAUUUAAAGAUGUACAGUCGGGCCAAACUGUUUGUGGCCUACAUUUAAACCAUUUCUAUCAAAAAAGGGGAAAGGAUUCACAAAGACAUUUUACAAGAACACAUGGAUAUAUAGAGAGACAAAUCAGGAAAAAUAUGCGUGAUCUUCAACAGCUACUUUGUAAAUGUAACCAAGAACAUGGAAAAUGUGAAAGUUAGGAUUAUUACAGUGCGAUCACUUAAAAGGUAGGUCAGUAGUGUUUUUUCUUUUUGCGAUUUAUGAAUGGAAUGUGAAAAACUAUAUCUCGAGUGAACGCGAUUGAUAGUUCAGAUUAUUUUUACCGAUAACCGCUACGAAUUUCAGCUGACGGCGACUAUAGGAGAUACCAAC
rnacentral:lncRNA from 1 species